UACGGGGGGGGCAAGCGUUGUUCGGAAUUACUGGGCGUAAAGGGCUCGUAGGCGUCCAACUAAGUCAGACGUGAAAUCCCUCGGCUUAACCGGGGAACUGCGUCUGAUACUGGAUGGCUUGAGAUUGGGAGAGGGAUGCGGAAUUCCAGGUGUAGCGGUGAAAUGCGUAGAUAUCUGGAGGAACACCGGUGGCGAAGGCGGCAUCCUGGACCAACACUGACGCUGAGGAGCGAAAGCCAGGGGAGCAAACGGG
rnacentral:rRNA from 1 species